AGAGUUUGAUCAUGGCUCAGGACGAACGCUGGCGGCGUGCUUAACACAUGCAAGUCGAACGAAGCACUCUAUUUGAUUUUCUUCGGAAAUGAAGAUUUUGUGACUGAGUGGCGGACGGGUGAGUAACGCGUGGGUAACCUGCCUCAUACAGGGGGAUAACAGUUGGAAACGACUGCUAAUACCGCAUAAGCGCACGGUAUCGCAUGGUACAGUGUGAAAAACUCCGGUGGUAUGAGAUGGACCCGCGUCUGAUUAGCCAGUUGGUGGGGUAACGGCCUACCAAAGCGACGAUCAGUAGCCGACCUGAGAGGGUGACCGGCCACAUUGGGACUGAGACACGGCCCAAACUCCUACGGGAGGCAGCAGUGGGGAAUAUUGCACAAUGGGGGAAACCCUGAUGCAGCGACGCCGCGUGAACGAAGAAGUAUUUCGGUAUGUAAAGUUCUAUCAGCAGGGAAGAUAAUGACGGUACCUGACUAAGAAGCACCGGCUAAAUACGUGCCAGCAGCCGCGGUAAUACGUAUGGUGCAAGCGUUAUCCGGAUUUACUGGGUGUAAAGGGAGCGCAGGCGGUGCGGCAAGUCUGAUGUGAAAGCCCGGGGCUCAACCCCGGUACUGCAUUGGAAACUGUCGUACUAGAGUGUCGGAGGGGUAAGUGGAAUUCCUAGUGUAGCGGUGAAAUGCGUAGAUAUUAGGAGGAACACCAGUGGCGAAGGCGGCUUACUGGACGAUAACUGACGCUGAGGCUCGAAAGCGUGGGGAGCAAACAGGAUUAGAUACCCUGGUAGUCCACGCCGUAAACGAUGAACACUAGGUGUUGGAGAGCAUUGCUCUUCGGUGCCGCAGC
rnacentral:rRNA from 1 species